UGGCUCAGGAUGAACGCUAGCGACAGGCUUAACACAUGCAAGUCGAGGGGCAGCACGGUGUAGCGAUACACUGGUGGCGACCGGCGCACGGGUGCGUAACGCGUAUGCAACCUACCUUUAACAGGGGGAUAACACUGAGAAAUUGGUACUAAUACCCCAUAAUAUCAUAGAAGGCAUCUUUUAUGGUUGAAAAUUCCGAUGGUUAGAGAUGGGCAUGCGUUGUAUUAGCUAGUUGGUGGGGUAACGGCUCACCAAGGCGACGAUACAUAGGGGGACUGAGAGGUUAACCCCCCACACUGGUACUGAGACACGGACCAGACUCCUACGGGAGGCAGCAGUGAGGAAUAUUGGUCAAUGGACGCAAGUCUGAACCAGCCAUGCCGCGUGCAGGAUGACGGCUCUAUGAGUUGUAAACUGCUUUUGUACGAGGGUAAACGCAGAUACGUGUAUCUGUCUGAAAGUAUCGUACGAAUAAGGAUCGGCUAACUCCGUGCCAGCAGCCGCGGUAAUACGGAGGAUUCAAGCGUUAUCCGGAUUUAUUGGGUUUAAAGGGUGCGUAGGCGGUUUGAUAAGUUAGAGGUGAAAUUUCGGGGCUCAACCCUGAACGUGCCUCUAAUACUGUUGAGCUAGAGAGUAGUUGCGGUAGGCGGAAUGUAUGGUGUAGCGGUGAAAUGCUUAGAGAUCAUACAGAACACCGAUUGCGAAGGCAGCUUACCAAACUAUAUCUGACGUUGAGGCACGAAAGCGUGGGGAGCAAACAGGAUUAGAUACCCUGGUAGUCCACGCAGUAAACGAUGAUAACUCGUUGUCGGCGAUACACAGUCGGUGACUAAGCGAAAGCGAUAAGUUAUCCACCUGGGGAGUACGUUCGCAAGAAUGAAACUCAAAGGAAUUGACGGGGGCCCGCACAAGCGGAGGAACAUGUG
rnacentral:rRNA from 1 species